CAGCCGCCGCGGUAAUACGAAGGGGGCUAGCGUUGCUCGGAAUGACUGGGCGUAAAGGGCGCGUAGGCGGAUGACACAGUCAGAUGUGAAAUUCCCGGGCUUAACCUGGGGGCUGCAUUUGAUACGUGUUGUCUAGAGUGAGGAAGAGGGUUGUGGAAUUCCCAGUGUAGAGGUGAAAUUCGUAGAUAUUGGGAAGAACACCGGUGGCGAAGGCGGCAACCUGGUCCAUUACUGACGCUGAGGCGCGAAAGCGUGGGGAGCAAACAGGAUUAGAUACCCCCGUAGUCCCUGUCUCUUAUAC
rnacentral:rRNA from 1 species